ensembl:lncRNA
GUUACUGUUCCCACCAGGUUACUGUUCCCACUAUGUUACUGUUCCCACCAGGUUACUGUUCCCACUAUGUUACUGUUCCCACCAGGUUACUGUUCCCACCAGGUUACUGUUCCCACCAGGUUACUGUUCCCACUAUGUUACUGUUCCCACCAGGUUACUGUUCCCACUAUGUUACUGUUCCCACUAUGUUACUGUUCCCACCAGGUUACUGUUCCCACCAGGUUACUGUUCCCACUAUGUUACUGUUCUCACCAGGUUACUGUUCCCACUAUGUUACUGUUCCCACUAUGUUACUGUUCCCACUAUGUUACUGUUCUCACCAGGUUACUGUUCCCACCAGGUUACUGUUCCCACUAUGUUACUGUUCCCACUAUGUUACUGUUCCCACUAUGUUACUGUUCCCACUAUGUUACUGUUCCCACUAUGUUACUGUUCCCACUAUGUUACUGUUCCCACCAUGUUACUGUUCCCACUAUGUUACUGUUCCCACUAUGUUACUGUUCCCACUAUGUUACUGUUCCCACCAUGUUACUGUUCCCACUAUGUUACUGUUCCCACUAUGUUACUGUUCCCACCAUGUUACUG